rnacentral:rRNA from 1 species
UACGUAGGGGGCAAGCGUUGUCCGGAUUUAUUGGGCGUAAAGAGCGUGUAGGCGGCUUGACAGGUCUGCUGUGAAAACUCGAGGCUCAACCUCGAGAUGUCGGCGGAAACCGUCUGGCUAGAGUCCGGAAGAGGAGAGUGGAAUUCCUGGUGUAGCGGUGAAAUGCGCAGAUAUCAGGAAGAACACCUAUGGCGAAGGCAGCUCUCUGGGACGGUACUGACGCUGAGGCGCGAAAGCGUGGGGAACAAACAGG